rnacentral:rRNA from 1 species
AUAAAUGCUGGCGGUAGGCCUAACACAUGCAAGUCGAACGGCAGCACAGGAGAGCUUGCUCUCUGGGUGGCGAGUGGCGGACGGGUGAGGAAUACAUCGGAAUCUACUUUUUCGUGGGGGAUAACGUAGGGAAACUUACGCUAAUACCGCAUACGACCUACGGGUGAGAGCAGGGGACCUUCGGGCCUUGCGCGAUUGAAUGAGCCGAUGUCGGAUUAGCUAGUUGGCGGGGUAAAGGGCCACCAAGGGGACGAUCCGUAGCUGGUCUGAGAGGAUGAUCAGCCACACUGGAACUGAGACACGGUCCAGACUCCUACGGGAGGGAGCAGUGGGGAAUAUUGGACAAUGGGCGCAAGCCUGAUCCAGCCAUACCGCGUGGGUGAAGAAGGCCUUCGGGUUGUAAAGCCCUUUUGUUGGGAAAGAAAUCCAGCCGGCUAAUACCUGGUUGGGAUGACGGUACCCAAAGAAUAAGCACCGGCUAACUUCGUGCCAGCCGCCGCAGUAA